rnacentral:rRNA from 1 species
AUGAACGCUGGCGGCGUGCCUAAUACAUGCCAGUCGAGCGAACAGACGAGGAGCUUGCUCCUCUGACGUUAGCGGCGGACGGGUGAGUAACACGUGGAUAACCUACCUAUAAGACUGGGAUAACUUCGGGAAACCGGAGCUAAUACCGGAUAAUAUAUUGAACCGCAUGGUUCAAUAGUGAAAGACGGUUUUGCUGUCACUUAUAGAUGGAUCCGCGCCGCAUUAGCUAGUUGGUAAGGUAACGGCUUACCAAGGCAACGAUGCGUAGCCGACCUGAGAGGGUGAUCGGCCACACUGGAACUGAGACACGGUCCAGACUCCUACGGGAGGCAGCAGUAGAGAAUCUUCCGCAAUGGGCGAAAGCUUGACGGAGCAACGCCGCGUGAGUGAUGAAGGUCUUCGGAUCGUAAAACUCUGUUAUUAGGGAAGAACAAAUGUGUAAGUAACUAUGCACGUCUUGACGGUACCUAAUCAGAAAGCCACGGCUAACUACGUG